rnacentral:rRNA from 1 species
UACGGAGGGUGCAAGCGUUGUUCGGAAUCAUUGGGCGUAAAGCGCACGUAGGCGGGUUUGUAAGUUGAUUGUGAAAUCCCAGGGCUCAACCUUGGAAUUGCAGUCAAAACUGCAGAUCUUGAAUACUUGAGAGGGUGGGAGAAUUCCUGGUGGAGAAGUGAAAUUCGUAGAGAUCAGGAGGAAUACCGGAGGCGAAGGCGCCUGCCUGGCAAGAUAUUGACGCUGAGGUGCGAAAGCGUGGGGAGCAAACAGG